CAUGGUGUAUUCCAGAGAAAAACAUUUGACAACCAGGUGAGCCACCGUGCUCGCGCGCGGCGCGCGGCGCGCGUAUGCACCGUGCACCUACCGCAGGGCAGCUGUCAGCCUGGCACGUACGACUCCCAACCCGAAACAAGAUGUUCGUGCGGUCGUGCUCCCUUUCUUCUUGGUCGGCGGCGGGAGCAGCAGCAGUAGCCGCGCGCGCCCCGGCGAGCCCUCCUCCUCUCCCCUCCUCCCCGGCCACGCCGCCGCCCAAGCCCGGGUCCAGGUCCAUGGCCACCUCCGGCGCCGGCGCCGGAGCCGGCCGGGUCCGCCUCGCGGUCGUCGGCGAUGUGGUACUCUCCCUCCCUCCCCCUCUUAUUAAGAGUUAAAUAAAACCGUUAACCCUCUAUAUUUCCUCGCGGGCGUGCUUCGGGUCGUCGAGACUGGCGUUGUGGUUCUUCAUGGGGUUCGGAUGCGUAGGUGGGGAUUGGGCGCUGAAGUCUCUGCUCGUUGACCUGGUUAAUUCUGUUAGGCUCCGAUUUGGGUGCAACAAGAGGGGUUCAGGUUCAGCGAUAUCUGUUUUUGUUUGCGAAUUGCGAGUAGUGUCCAUCUAAGGUGCAUUUGAUCUUAGUUUAGAUUGGGUCAUAUAGGACGAUGAGUUAGAUGUGAUGGCUGCUCUAUUGAAGGCAGGUUCUGGCGUCUAUAUGAAUAUAUUGUGGGGAAAUGCAUUUUCUGGCUUCAAACAAACCCUUGGAGUGGCAUCUUUUGGAUACCUUUUCCCCUCUCCAACAAGCACCCAAAUAUGUGUUGUUCUGUAUUAUAAGAAGUUGCCCGAAUUGCGCAAUAGUAUAGAUCAACCAAACUCAAACAAAAAGAAAACCAAAUUAGGCUACCAGAGGAAACAUGCAAAAACAGAGGAAAAUGCAGAUCAACCGAGCUCAAACAUGCUGCGGCCGAGCGUGCAGCAGCAGGCGUCUGAGCGCCUUCGCACCAGCCCUCACAAGAGCACCAGCGUGAUCAUCUGUUCUUUUGAACCAUGAUGUGAAAUCACCGUUGGGCUGUGGUGAGAUGGGUAGCCGGGAGAUUAAGUACGGUAGGAGCGCACUCAUGAUGAUUGGAUCCUUGAUGAAGAUACAAAGGCACUCCAUUUUCUUCAGCCAGAUCUGGUGCUUUUUACAGGUGAUUAUGGCAACGAGAAUGUCCAACUUGUCAAAAGCAUUUCGGAUCUUCAGUUUCCGAAGGCGGCAAUUCUUGGUAAUCAUGAUUGCUGGCGUACACAUCAAUUUUCAGAGAAGAAGGUAGAUCGUGUCCGGCUUCAGCUUGAAAGCCUUGGUGAGCAGCAUGCUGGAUAUCAAUGUUUGGAUUUUCCAACAAUAAAGUUGAGUGUUGUUGGUGGGCGACCAUUUUCUUGUGGGGGUGACAGGUUAUUUAGACCAAAGCUUCUGUCACAACGGUUGGUAUGGUGUCGAUGAUAUGUCAGGAAGUGUGAGGAAGAUAUACGAUGCUGCUACGGCUGCACCAGAGGAGCAUUCUGUCAUACUACUUGCACAUAAUGGACCAACAGGUCUAGGUUCAAGAAUCGAUGAUAUCUGCGGGCGGGAUUGGGUAGCUGGCGGUGGCGAUCAUGGCGAUCCAGAUCUGGAACAGGCGAUAUCCGACCUGCAAAGGGAAACCGGGGUUUCGAUCCCGCUGGUCGUGUUUGGGCACAUGCACAAGAGCUUAGCCUACGGGGGAGGCCUUAGGAAGAUGAUCGCCUUCGGAGCCAACAACCAGACCAUAUAUCUGAACGGAGCGGUCGUGCCUAGGGUGAAGCCUGCAGAAGCAAUGAGCCCCUCCACGAUCUCCACCAGCGAAAGAGACGAGCUCCAAGAAUCGGCAUCUGUGGGGCCCAUGUCACGGGCGUUCACCACUGUCGACCUCUUCGACGGCACCGUCGAGAAGAUCUCUGAGGUCUGGGUUCUUGUGAGCGGGGCCCAGGCUGAGCUCGAGGAGGAGACUGUCCUGUACAAGCGUCCUCGUGAGCAUAUGUGACGUCUAGGCUGGUAUGAAUAAUGCUGUGGCGAUGCUGCUGGAGCUGUUAAAAGAGUGUGAGUUGCUGUGUAUGAACGGGAGUGCAUGACACUGGGAUUGGGGAAGUCAGCAUUCCUGGUUGAAGAGGCCUUCAACGAGAGAUACUUGGGCAUUCCUACCGCAGUGGGUCGUAUUACUAGGGGCACGUUCGACCACAUCCGUGAGAGAGCUAGAGGAAUGAUCCAGGGAUGUUCUGAAAAACUGCUAGCGUGUGCUGGCCAGUAAAUUCUUCUGAAAUCGGUCAUUCAGGCAAUUCGAGUAUGUUCCUGUUAACAAAAAAUGUUUGUAAGAGUUUUAACUUAUCCCAUGGUGAAAUAUUUUUGGAUUAGCUCACUUGACAAGAAAUCAGUGCACUGGGUGUCCUGGAGCAACCUAGCAACUACCUGGCAACUCCGAAAUGCAAAGGUGGCAUGGGAUUGGGAGACUUGCAUCUGAUUAACCUUGCUUUGCUUGGAAAACAUGGUUGGCGUUUCUUGACAAACCCAAAUUCCUUGUCUGCAAGAGUACUGAAUGGGUGCUAUUUUUCCAGAGGUUGAUUUUAUGCAAGCCAGAGCUCCCAAGCCAGCAUCGGCUACUUGCCGGGGGAUUAUCGCUGGAAGGGAAGCUCUCAAUGCCGAUCUGACAGAAACAGCAAUGCCAAAUUGGCAGUACAAUACACACUAUGGCGUGCGUGGAGUAGUAAAUUGCAAAAAUGAAUGAUCACAAAUUCCAUGUUUCUGCUCAGGUGGCCGGGGUAGUGUUUUCUCUAGCUUUGCUGAUACUGGAAGCUACCAACCUCCUCAGCAUGGAGAGCUCCCGCAGUUCGCUUCCCGUGCUUUCGACAUUUUUAAGCCUCUGAAGCCGCUCUGCCACCUCUGCCAUUUUUGGUCGCGCCAAUGCAUCCAGUUUCAAACAGUCCAUUGCAACCAUCUGGAUCCUUUCAAGUAUUAAAAUGUCCGCCUUCGCGGCUAUCUCCUUGUCAAACAUGGUGUGCCCUUUUUUCAUGUAAGCUUUCCUCAGUUCCUGCGGGCUGUUGUUGCGAUACCCUCCUUGUUUCCUGGUUAUAAGUUCCAAAAGGAGAAUUCCAAAACUGUAAACAUCACCUGAUGUGCUACUGAUGCUGUGACAUAUGAAGAGAGGCCCGGAGACCUUCGGUACCAAACUGUCAUCUAGCAGUAUGUUGGCGGAUGUGACGUUAGCACCCACAAAUGCAAAGGAUCGUGAAUGCAGAUAUGCUAACGCUUCCGCGCAUCCAACUGCGAUAUCUAGACGUAUACCAAGCGGGAAGCUGUAGUUGCCACGAAGGAUGUCCUGGAGAUUCCCGUUUGCAGCAAACUCAUACACCAAUAUUGGGACAUCCGCCUCCAAGUAACAACCCAACAGUUUGAUAAUGUUAUUGUGGAGAAUGAUGGAAUAGAUGAGCAUGCUAUUUGUAAAGGAUUCACUAUGGGCUUCAUCCACUGCGGUCUCUAUAUUCACUGCCACCAAUGUGUUGUCCUCAAGAGUCCCUUUGUAGACCUCACAAGAUGAACACUUGGCAAUUACAUCUGAUGAAUAACCAUUGGUGAUUUUUCUUA